CAGUCAUACCAACGGGAAAUCAACCUUUUGAGUUUGGUCUUGUGGAUUUCGGAGAGUUUAAAAGCCUUCGGAUUCGUUAGGAUCGGGUUCUUUUGGUGUACUUUCUCGUACGGUUAGUCAACAUCGGUUUUGAAUGUCAUAAAAUGACUGGAGGAAUGUGGCUUCGAUCUCGUAUCGAAGUGUUAUAGCCUUUGGUAGAUGUGAUGUUCGAGUCCGAGGAUUGCAACGGAUACCCUUCUGGGCUAUUCGUCUGAUCUCUGAUACGUUACCUUGAUAUCAGAAGCUUG
rnacentral:rRNA from 1 species